rnacentral:sRNA from 1 species
GGCCCCGCCGGCUCGCGCGUCCCGCCGUCCGCCCACCGGAGCUGGGCCGGGCAGCCGCGCUUGCUUCUGCCCGCCGCACCGGGGCCGGCCCUGGGCCUCCGCGGAUGCCGAGCCUUGCACCGGAGGGCGGGCCUCGCUGGCUGUUUUCCCUCAUUGCCUGGCUCUGCGCGGUAGAGGUCGCGAGUGGCGAAGGCUAGGACGCAUUUUGUCGAACUGCGAGGCGCGGCUGGUGAGGCGGGACCAAAGAAGUAAACACUGUGUGGAGAGGGACUGAGGUGUUUGGAGGGAAAUGGGAAUGUACACGAUAAUUAAAGAGUAAAGUUGUGCUCAACGCUGUUUACUUCUAAUUAUUUCCUGAUUCACAAAUUAAUUUUUGCAAUUCACAACUUCA